AACUGAUACUACCUGCGGGAACCUGCGGAGGGAUCAUUAAUGAGAAACUGCCCCCCGCGGGUAGAUCUCCCACCCUUUGUAAACUUACCUUUGUUGCUUUGGCAGGCCCGUCUCCGGACCGCCGGCUUCGGCUGGCCAGUGCCUGCCAGAGGAUUCUAAAACUCUGUCUGUCAGUGUUGUCUGAGUCUAUAUACAAUCGUUAAAACUUUUAACAAUGGAUCUCUAGAUCGGAAGAGCACA
rnacentral:misc_RNA from 1 species